GACGAACGCUGGCGGCGCGCUUAACACAUGCAAGUCGAACGAGCGAAAGAGAGCUUGCUUUCUUGAGCGAGUGGCGAACGGGUGAGUAACGCGCGAGGAACCUGCCUCAAAGAGGGGGACAACAGUUGGAAACGACUGCUAAUACCGCAUAAGCCCACGACCCGGCAUCGGGUUGAGGGAAAAGGAGCAAUCCGCUUUGAGAUGGCCUCGCGUCCGAUUAGCUAGUUGGUGAGGUAACGGCCCACCAAGGCAACGAUCGGUAGCCGGACUGAGAGGUUGAACGGCCACAUUGGGACUGAGACACGGCCCAGACUCCUACGGGAGGCAGCAGUGGGGAAUAUUGCACAAUGGGGGAAACCCUGAUGCAGCGACGCCGCGUGGAGGAAGAAGGUCUUCGGAUUGUAAACUCCUGUUGUUGAGGAAGAUAAUGACGGUACUCAACAAGGAAGUGACGGCUAACUACGUGCCAGCAGCCGCGGUAAAACGUAGGUCACAAGCGUUGUCCGGAAUUACUGGGUGUAAAGGGAGCGCAGGCGGGAAGACAAGUUGGAAGUGAAAUCUAUGGGCUCAACCCAUAAGCUGCUUUCAAAACUGUUUUUCUUGAGUAGUGCAGAGGUAGGCGGAAUUCCCGGUGUAGCGGUGGAAUGCGUAGAUAUCGGGAGGAACACCAGUGGCGAAGGCGGCCUACUGGGCACCAACUGACGCUGAGGCUCGAAAGUGUGGGUAGCANACAGG
rnacentral:rRNA from 1 species